GCGUUAUAUAAAGGCAUUUCAUACGUCUUUCCAGCACGUGCAUAUUAGAAUGGCGUAUGGGACAAUACGGGAGCGUCUGAUCCUUAUACUAAGUUCUUUCACAUGCAUUACUUUAGUGCAGUGCAGACAUGUGCUGCAAUUGUCUGAAAAUGAAAAAGCAAAUGAUGAUGGUGAAUUUAUAUCAGAACAACAUAUGUUUGACCACGACGAGGCUUUACCUGAUUUUGAGUACCUAGGUGAUGACGCCAUUGUCUCAGGGCAAGUCAGUUCUUCUGAAGCCGCCUGGUAUGCCAUGUCUCCAAGUUUGAGGUGUGGUGAUGACCUUAUGAAGUUGCAGCUCAGUGGUCCUGAAGUAGCACAAGUUGAGCUUUGUCGAGGUAAUGGGGCACCUGUUACCCUCAAUGAGUUGCCACUUCACUGUGGACACACCAUACCAACUUAUGGAGGUCUUAUAUAUGCUACCCCGUAUGAUGGGUGUGGUGUUGCACAACAGGGCGGGAGUUAUGUAAUGCAGAUGCAGUGGCAGGGAAACGGUGCAGUCAUUUCUUGUCCUAUGACCUCUACAACUGCAAACGAAACCUUCAUAGGACCUCAUUCUCUUUCAUAUCAACAGAUUCUGCUGCCUCCCCUUUUUUCUGAUAAAGUUACUACAAUAACUAUGACAGAACUAUCUGCAACACUCAAACCUCUACCUUAUGGGUACCCUCAAGUGUUUCCACAAGAGUUUUGGCCUUACUACUACCCUCGUUACCAUUAUCCUGGCAAGGGUUAUCCCACAGCUGGGCCGGCGGAGGAACAUUCUAGCGAUGUCCAAGCACCAAACCAGAACCCUCAAUUUCCAAAGCACCCCCAUAUGAUGUGGCCAUAUCCCUAUUCCCAUUAUACUGGAAAGGGUUAUCCCACAGCUGGGCCGGCGGAGGAACAUUCUAGCGAUGUCCAAGCACCAAACCAGAACCCUCAAUUUCCAAAGCACCCCCAUAUGAUGUGGCCAUAUCCCUAUUCCCAUUAUACUGGAAAGGGUUAUCCCACAGCCAAGCCAGCAGAGGAAUCUUCUGCAGAUGUCCAAGCACCAAACCAGAACCCUCAAUUUCCAAAGCACCCCCAUAUGAUGUGGCCAUAUCCCUACUCCCAUUACCAUUAUCCUGGCAAGGGUUAUCCCACAGCUGAGUCAGCAGAGGAUCCUACUACAGAUACCCAUGCACCAACCCAGAAGCCUCAAUUUCCAAAGUACCCCCAUAUGAUUUGGCCAUAUCAUCCCACAGCUAAGCCAGCAGAGAAACCUCCAUCAGAUGACCAAACGCCAGCCC
rnacentral:lncRNA from 1 species